rnacentral:rRNA from 1 species
ACGUAGGUGGCAAGCGUUGUCCGGAAUUAUUGGGCGUAAAGGGUGCGCAGGCGGUCUCUUAAGUCUGUCUUAAAAGUGCGGGGCUUAACCCCGUGAGGGGACGGAAACUGGGAGAGUGGAGUAUCGGAGAGGAAAGCAGAAUUCCUAGUGUAGCGGUGAAAUGCGUAGAUAUUAGGAGGAAUACCAGUGGCGAAAGCGGCUUUCUGGACGACAACUGACGCUGAGGCACGAAAGCCAGGGGAGCGAACGG